rnacentral:misc_RNA from 1 species
GAAAUGCGAUAAGUAAUGUGAAUUGCAGAAUUCAGUGAAUCAUCGAAUCUUUGAACGCACAUUGCGCCCGCCGGUAUUCCGGCGGGCAUGCCUGUUCGAGCGUCAUUUCACCACUCAAGCCCAGCUUGGUGUUGGGGCGCCCGGCCGCCGCCACGCGGUCCGGGGCCCCUAAGUUCAUCGGCGGGCUCGUCGGAACUCUGAGCGCAGUAACUCGCGGUAAAACGCGCCUCGUUCGGUUGGUUCAGGCGGGUUCUAGCCGCUAAACCCCCUAAUUAAUCUUAGGUUGACCUCGGAUCAGGUAGGAAUACCCGCUGAACUUAA